rnacentral:rRNA from 1 species
GACGAACGCUGGCGGCGUGCUUAACACAUGCAAGUCGAACGGAAAGGCCCUGCUUGCAGGGUACUCGAGUGGCGAACGGGUGAGUAACACGUGGGUGAUCUGCCCUGCACUUCGGGAUAAGCCUGGGAAACUGGGUCUAAUACCGGAUAUGACCUUCCAUGUAGUGUGGGGGGUGGAAAGAUUUAUCGGUGUGGGAUGAGCCCGCGGCCUAUCAGCUUGUUGGUGGGGUAAUGGCCUACCAAGGCGUCGACGGGUAGACGGCCUGAGAGGGUGGACGGCCACAUUGGGACUGAGAUACGGCCCAGACUCCUACGGGAGGCAGCAGUGGGGAAUAUUGCACAAUGGGCGGAAGCCUUAUGCAGCGACGCCGCGUGGGGGAUGACGGCCUUCGGGUUGUAAACCUCUUUCGACAGGGACGAAGCUUCGGUGACGGUACCUGUAGAAGAAGCACCGGCUAACUACGUG